ensembl:lncRNA
AACAGAACAACAGCAAAGAAGAACAACAAAAAUAACAGUGGUGUUCACUUUGGAUGUGAUCGGUGAACAGAGGGAGAGCUUGUUCCAGCAGACGGGCCCCAUCCGCUCCUCCCGUCCGAGGGCUGGGAAGAAGGGAUGGAGGCGAAGGGAACUCUCCCACCCCUCCGGGGCCCCGCGGGCGCGCUGCUUCCCAGAAAAUACGGUAAAAAGCCUUCAGCCUAAAAAUAACUGCAGCCCGUGGCUGCCCAAGGCUGAGGAACCAGCCCCUCGGGGCUCACUUAGAGAUGUCAACGUGUGGCCAUUGGCCGGUCUCUCUGAUGGGCAGAAGUCAUCUGGCGAGGUGCUGAUCCUCCUAUAGUGUUUGCAAGAUCUUUAAGAAGAAUUGCAUGGCCGAUGUCGUUGCGUUUGAGUUGUGCUAGAAUACCCUGACCAUCAGAGGACUUGGAUUUUAUGACAGAAGAGAUCAGCACUGCAAAGACAUGGCGAUGUUGUUCACAUUGCCUGGACCUGAGCCCAGGGUCCGGGACCAGACCUGUCUCAUACCCACACCUUAGAAGACAGCGCCGUGUUCGUGUUUUCUUUUUGCAGGCUGAAAGCUUUCCUGGACCUGCUGAACACUUCUGCUGUAAUCUGUCGUGGCUGUCAGGGUGCCAAGAGACAUGCCAGACCCUGGGCCACAAUAGUGGAACAGACAUGCCCAGAGCUGAAAGCUGGCACAAGGUAGUGUAUAAAGUGAGAUAUGUGAAGCCACGGGCAAAUAGUUUGGUAAUCACGUGGGUCAGUUAGGCUUGGCACAGGGCAGAGCCUGUCUGCUCAUCAAGGAAGGCAGAGACAAAACUUCGUCAUAGAAUCAUAGAAUAUUUGAAUUAUUGAAUCAUUGAAUGGCUUGGGUUAGAAGGGACCUUACAGCCCACCCAGCUCCAACCCCAGUGCCAUGGGCACAGUUGCCACUCACUGCAUCAGGUUGCCCAGUGCCCCACACAACCUGGUCUUGAGAAGAGUUGGGGGACUUCUUAAUGAGAGCUACGAGGAUUAAACAAAAACAAUUACUCCAGAAGGACUGAGGUAAAGGACACAGUGUUGUCUCAGUGGGGUCGCAAACACAUUUCAAAACAGAUUUUUGCAGAAAGAGAUGUUUCCCAUUCCCCAGAUAUCUUGUUCCCAACAACGAUUCUCGUUUCACAGUAAGGUUCAGGGUUGGAGGAAGGAGCAUGAGCCUUGCUCAGCAUUGGUGCAGGGGAUGCUCCACGUGUCUCCUCACCUAGAAAGCUAAACCUCAAAGAAUAGAAGAGCACAAUUCACUCCUCGCAGAUGGGGAAAUGGUGCAGUGAGUCAGCAAGGCAGACCACAGAUGCUGUCCAAAAGCAUUGCAGCAAUUAGUUGGAGCAAGGUGGAGAUAUAUUCCUCCAAAAUGAAAGUCUCUGUAGGCUGUUACCAGUGCUCACAGCCAUCUAGUCCCUUGCUGAACAUUUCUGACCAAAAUCCUUCCAAGCUGAUCUAUUUUCAGCCCAACCCACUCGAUACCUUGAUUGCUACGCAGCUCUUUUAGCUGCUCUUAGGUAAACAUGUUGUCAUUCCCUGGCAUUUUGCCUCGCUAAGACCAAAAAUAUGAGUGGCACAGAAAAUAAGAAAAGCUGUUCUCCUCCGCCAGGAAAAAUGAUGCUAUUUCUGAAAUAAACUGUUUUUAAUACACCUCACCAGCCAUGUGCAUAUACACACAUGUAUAAAUAUACUUGACCCGGAGGUCCAGUUCCAGUGUUGGCAUCUUGUAUGCCUAUAUGGAGACAGAACAGAGAGGGAAUUAUGUAUGUACAAACCAGGACACACCUUCGGUCCAGUCUACAUCUGAAUGCAGAACGUUGGUUAAGACAAAAUACUGAGGUCUGAUCCCCAUUAAAACAGGUUCACAGGGACUGGUCCAAACUGAGACCAGAGAGUUAUGGGCUGUCAUGAGGAGCAGCUUCUACCAUAGCGACCCAUGUGCCCCAUACCUAAAACCAGCAUCCCCAGGGUUGAACCAGAGCAGGCUGGAGCAGAUCAGUGUCAGAGCUCUAUCCACAGCAGGCCUUGUUUUUGAGGAAUGACAGUGAUGUUGGCCAGACCUCCAAGCCUCUUUUUUUUUCAGAUUUCUCUUUAUCGAGUAAACACAUAGAAGUCAACAACAGAUGGAGCAUCACAUGGAGUUACGCAGGUCAGCAAAGGCUUCGGAGACCCCGUGAGUUUGAGGAGGCAAUAAAUUGGCAGGAGAUGUGGAUGGGAAAUUAUUCUGAGGGACGGAGGAAAAAAAUAGUGGGUUGAUCUGUCGCCCCUGUGACAUGCUCAGGUUUUGUGGAGGAAGACAAAGGUGGGCAGAUAACAAAAGCUCCUGGGUAGGAAGGCUUUUGGGUUCCUCUUUGGCUGCAAAUUGUGAAAUUCAAGCAGAAAGGUAACAAACUGGUAACAAAACGGGCAGGAGUAAAGCAAAGCGAGUGCAAAACAAAAGCAGAUUUUGUGUGACAGGAGCAGAUUGAACUGAUGUGACAAAGGAGGAGGAGAGCUUUUUCAGUAGCUUGUAUAGUGCUGCGGGGAGCUGGGAGUGACAAAUGAGGAAUUUGCACAAGUGGAGAGCAACAGCGUAGGGCUGUGUGUUGAGGAAGAAAGAAAGGAGAAAAGGGAGCAAAGGACACCUAUUAAUAAAAAGAAACCUACAUUCCAUUUAAGAUUUAUUGCUAGCUCAGAGCCAGAGAAUCUUUCAUGCCUUCGCAUCUCUGAGCUAACAUUACCCAAGAGUGGGUAGUGGUGGGGAUCCACUAUGAGCCAUUGAAUUCAAGUGGAAAAGAGCUCCGGUCUUUAAUAUGCAGAAAUUAAAACACUUUGGCUGACAGAGCUUUCAAUCUGAGAAACCUGCACUGUAGUAGCAGAAUAGCAUUAGUGCUCCUGAAUACACAGCUGGUAAUUUCCGAGCACGAAAUAUCAUGCAUUGAAAAUGAAAUUGCUCCAUUUAGGAGAUCGGUGUGGUGGGGAUGGAUGAAUUCAGUGCUGGAUGAAAAAUUAAUGGUUGCCUUCAGACAGGUGUUGACUAGCUGGUGGUGUUCCAAGAAAGGACGGUCCCAUCUGGUCAUGGGGAGAGCUGUGAUGGUGCGAAAAGAAGAGAGUGAUCACCAUGGACAAAGAGCAUCCCACGAACUCAUGUCAGAGAAGAGUUUUUGUCUUGGAGGUGGAGGGCUCAGUCGGUGGGAGAAGUAGGGCUACUUCUACGUGGGGUGUGGAUGGAGAAGUUUGAGGUAAAAUGAGGCUGGAUGGUUGGAGAAACACCAGCUAACAUUGGGUGUGGACUUGAUUACAGCAUAGAAUUGCCUCUGAGGGGAGGGGGUGAGGGGCUGCCUCACGUAGGGGAGAAAUAUAUGAUAGCAGUGGGUUGGAAAGCUGAGAUUUGGGCAAAUUUGAAUGAAAAAAAGAAGCACCUUUUAGCUGACAGAUGAUUAGGAUGCACUUGAAGGACAGCAGCGUGUCUUCCCCCACACCAAACCCUGUGUGCCACCUUGGCAGUCCACGGAGGCACCUUGAGCUGACCUAUCCGGUCCGUUCUGCUGGAGGAGGGGACAAGCAGGCCCCAGCUUCCAUCAGCUGCUCUGGGUUUGCAGUUAGGGUAGAUAAAUCCUUAUACUUACAAAGCAAGGCUGCCCGCGUGCCAAGUUGAGCACUGAAUCAGAAGAUGAGCUCCCUGGGGGGGUAAUCGGUAUCUUUCAUAAACUGCAAUUGGUCAGAGGAGAUGGGGAUUUUCCUGGCUCCAGCCCACGCACCCCUGCCCAUGCUGUGUGAGACGUGCAGGGCAAUUUACCUAUCGAUAGCUCACAGUGCUGGGCAAAUAUUUGUCUUAUCGUGGGUUUAGCAGUGAUAGCUAAAGGGCAGCGGCAAAACAAAGCCCAGGAAAGACCCAACUCUGAUCCAGUGCAGCUGGGAAAGCUGGAGGCUUUCCAGUCUGUGGGUGCUCAGCGUGUCCCUGCCCGGAAGGGGCUGCGGGGGGGAGCUGGGCUCAGCACUGCAGUGACAUUUGGAGAGAGCAGGAGGUCACAGAGCUGGAAGCAAACACAGGCAGUGACUGUCCUGCAGUGCACAGCCAGAGAGCUGCCUCUGCAGAGAGAAAACACAGGCAAGCACGCCUGAAACCUGUGCUUUGCUUCACUGCGCUUUCCUCCCAUAAAAAGUCUUUUAAAAAGUAUGAGUAAAUCUUUUUCCUAAAUCCUGUUCUCUUCCCUUCCCCUUCUCGUUCCCCUUCUCCCCCCUUCUCGUUCCCCUUCCCUUCCCUUCCCUUCCCUUCCCUUCCCUUCCCUUCCCUUCCCUUCCCUUCCCUUCCCUUCCCUUCCCUUCCCUUCCCUUCCCUUCCCUUCCCUUCCCUUCCCUUCCCUUCCCUUCCCUUCCCUUCCCUUCCCUUCCCUUCCCUUCCCUUCCCUUCCCUUCCCUUCCCUUCCCUUCCCCUUCCCCUUCCCUAUGAAGAAACGGAAGGAGAACCCAUGGAGACAAUGUGAGACAUCCCCAGAAUGAAUCCAGAUGUGCUGCUCUGUCUGUAACCCAGUGCUGUAAGGAGGACUGAGAUCUGCUGCACUGCAAGCCUGGAUAAAGAUACCCACCAUGGAUCUUCUCCCUGGACUCCUGACCCCAACUGCUCACCUUCCUCCUUCUGCCCUGGGCUAACUUCUCCUCGACUUCUGCUUUGGUUGAAAAGAGGCUGGGGUAAAAAAAGGGGGAAGGGGAGCCUGAAGGUGCAUACUGCUCUGCACCGGAUGCUGUGCAAGCAUACAAAUAACCACGGUCCCUGCGCCAGCAGAUCCAGCAGCUCAGCACAGAUCCAGCCCCAGGGGCUCAUCCUGGGCAGGGAGUGCAACCCUCGAGCUCCAACACCAUCCUGAGCUGACAGCUGCCCUCCUCCCCCCACCCCCAGCCACCUCCAAGCCGUUCACGGAGCGAUUCUCCAAAUGAUUUUUCUGGAAAACCAAUUAAAGGAGGAGUUACAUCACACAGCAGCCAGCCCAACCGGCGCUGCGUUGCGCUGACGAACCCUGCCUGUAUUUUGGGCUCUGCACCACAUUGCUCACAGCUGCUGCUGCUGCUGCCGUGCUGGAAUUUGCAGCAUGCUAUCUAAAUAUACUGCAACAAAAAACUGAUCAAAGCAGCUAAAUAUUAUUGUCUGCGCUCGGAUGGGAGGCGCAGAGCGUGGUCUCCCAGAAAACCUCCAAGUGCUUCGUUUUUUCCCCUGUGCAAAACCACAGACAAACAAAAUCGGGAGGGGGUAGGGUGUGGAAAGAAGCAGAGAAGGAGACUUUCAGUGGGUGUGAAGGGAGCACAGCCCAGGGCUUGGAAGUCAGGAAAUUCCAGUCCCUACAGCCUGUGGCAGGGGACAGGACGUGCUGCCUUAUGGGCUUGUGCUCCCCUCUGGAUGCUGCCACAUACUACCUUCAUACCUUUAGGUCAUCACAAAAUGAUGGAAUCUUAGAAUCGUUUGGGUUGGAAGGGAUCUGAGAAAUCAUUGAGCUCCAACCCCCUGCUGUGGGCUGGUUGCCACCCACCAGGUCUGGCUGCCCAGGGCCCCAUCCAUCCUGGCCUUGAGUACCUCCAGGGAUGGGGCAUCGACAGUUUCUCUGGGCAGCCUGUCAUCACCCACCAUCACCCAACAAGCGUGCCCACCCCUCAGUAUCCAGGCCAAGCUUAUUUAGGAAGCACAGAGCCUCCCAGACCCUUCCCCUGUGUAGUUGGCAAGAAAUAAAACAAGCCAGGUUGAGCUCAGUGUAUGGCAGGGGCAAGGCUUGGCACCAGGAUGGGGGUCUUAGACGGUGCCCAUGGACUAGGUUGGCCCCCGCUAUCACUCAGGCAGAAUUCUCAGCCCUCAGUUCCCUCCCAUAAAUCUUCCAGGUGAGCUCAUCAGCACUGCCAUGCAGAACAAGCACUGCUGCAAAUGAGUAGUCAUGAAUAAUCACUCUGGAUGCUUUGAAAAGCUUCUUAUCCUUUGCAUAAGAGACUCAAAGAAAAGCUGGCAUUAAGCCGAGGACUGCUGCUUGGUUUGGUCUCCAACCAUGAGAUGCUCAGUGGCAUCUCACCCUGGUGACAGCCAGGUCUCCUGCCAUGGGGGCAACAGGGGCAAAGGAAGAUGAUGCAGUAGCUUCAGCACCAGCUCCUGACCACAAGUCCCCACAUGCAUUCGACUGUCCGUGGGAUGCCAGGUGAGCUGCCUGAUUUUACAUCCAUUACAAGGUGAUGAGCUUCUCCAGUAUCAAUGAGAAGAAUCUGUGCAUGGCUGAAACUCAGGAAUACAAAUAACUUUCUCAUGAAGAAAACCCUAAACCCCAUUCUCUACUGGUGCACGUAACAAGGCUGUGAGCAGCUUCUCUUUGCCUGUGUCAAGUUGUGUACACCAUGCCUACUAUUAAUACAGAUGGUUUCUUCUCCUCUUUUCCUCAUUUCUCCUUUUCACAACCCAACCAGGAAUUAAAG